GAUGAACGCUGGCGGCGUGCUUAACACAUGCAAGUCGAACGGACUAAGGAGCUUGCUCCUUAGUUAGUGGCGGACGGGUGAGUAACGCGUGGGUAACCUGCCCUAUGCAGGGGGACAACAGUUGGAAACGACUGCUAAUACCGCAUAACAUAUGAGGUUCGCACGAACUUCAUAUCAAGGAUUUAUCGGCAUAGGAUGGACCCGCGUUGGAUUAGCUAGUUGGUGAGAUAAAAGCUCACCAAGGCAACGAUCCAGAGCCGGCCUGAGAGGGUGAACGGCCACACUGGGACUGAGACACGGCCGAGACGCCUACGGGAGGCAGCAGUGGGGAAUAUUGCACAAUGGGCGCAAGCCUGAUGCAGCGACGCCGCGUGAAGGAUGAAGGUUUUCGGAUCGUAAACUUCUAUCAGCAGGGAGGAACCAAAUGACGGUACCUGACUAAGAAGCCCCGGCUAACUACGUGCCAGCCGCCGCAGUAA
rnacentral:rRNA from 1 species